rnacentral:rRNA from 1 species
CACGUAGGGCGCGAGCGUUGUCCGGAAUUAUUGGGCGUAAAGAGCUCGUAGGCGGUCUGUUGCGUCCGCUGUGAAGACUCGGGGCUUAACCCCGAGCCUGCAGUGGAUACGGGCAGACUAGAGGUAGGUAGGGGAGAAUGGAAUUCCCGGUGUAGCGGUGAAAUGCGCAGAUAUCGGGAGGAACACCGGUGGCGAAGGCGGUUCUCUGGGCCUUACCUGACGCUGAGGAGCGAAAGCGUGGGGAGCGAACAGG